GGCUUACCAUGCAGUCGAGGGGCAUCAGUUUGGUUUGCUUGCAAACCAAAGCUGGCGACCGGCGCACGGGUGAGUAACACGUAUCCAACCUGCCUCAUACUCGGGGAUAGCCUUUCGAAAGAAAGAUUAAUAUCCGAUAGCAUAUAUUUCCCGCAUGGGUUUUAUAUUAAAGAAAUUCGGUAUGAGAUGGGGAUGCGUUCCAUUAGUUUGUUGGGGGGGUAACGGCCCACCAAGACUACGAUGGAUAGGGGUUCUGAGAGGAAGGUCCCCCACAUUGGAACUGAGACACGGUCCAAACUCCUACGGGAGGCAGCAGUGAGGAAUAUUGGUCAAUGGACGCGAGUCUGAACCAGCCAAGUAGCGUGAAGGAUGACUGCCCUAUGGGUUGUAAACUUCUUUUAUAUGGGAAUAAAGUUGUCCACGUGUGGAUUUUUGUAUGUACCAUAUGAAUAAGGAUCGGCUAACUCCGUGCCAGCAGCCGCGGUAAUACGGAGGAUCCGAGCGUUAUCCGGAUUUAUUGGGUUUAAAGGGAGCGUAGGCGGAUUGUUAAGUCAGUUGUGAAAGUUUGCGGCUCAACCGUAAAAUUGCAGUUGAUACUGGCAGUCUUGAGUGCAGUAGAGGUGGGCGGAAUUCGUGGUGUAGCGGUGAAAUGCUUAG
rnacentral:rRNA from 1 species